AGGGGACCCAUUGACAGAGAAGGUAGCAUUCUUCAUUCUUACAUUCAUUCUUACAUUAUAAGAAGGGAUAUUGGCAAGAUAAUUGGUGUCCUCUUUUGGAAACCUCAAUGUUCCCUCUGCCAUUCCUGAUUUUUGUGUGUCAGUGGGGUGGGGGGAGGGGCGCUUUGAGCAGAAGAAAGGACUUCUCUGGGAAUGCCUUGUCACUCCCAAGUUGAGAGAGUAAAACUCUGUUAUAGAAGUCUUCAGUAUAUCAGAGACAUGAAAAAGAAGGGUUCCCAUGCUUCCAAUUAGAUAUAGGACAUUAGUCUCACCAUCACCUAGGAAGCUUCUAUACUGGCUGUGAUGCUUGGUCCCAGCAUAAGCCCUGUAACUGCUUGUCAGGAUGCAAAGAGCACUGUAGGAGCAGUAAGGAGACUGUGCUGGUGUGUCUGUUCUGCUCUGAACUAAUGUAGGUAAUGGUGUGUUUUCAAGCAAAGUUACUUGACCUCCCUCAGCCACCAUUUCCACAUCUGUGAAAUAAAAGUGAUGAUCUUCCUGACCCCCUGAGUUGACAUCUGGGGCUCAGAUGUAACCCUAACCGUAACCCUUUAUGACCCUCUGAGUUGACAUCUGGCUCUCAGCUUGUUGCUCUGGUGUGGCUGAGUGGCUCUGCCAUCUCAGUGGGCCUUGCCUCUCCCUGGUCAGACUGCAGCACAAGCUGGUUCUCCUGCAGCAACAGUGUGAAGAGAAACAGCAGCUCUUUGAGUCCCUCCAGUCAGAGUUACAAAUCUAUGAGGCACUUUAUGGCAAUUCCAAGAAGGGGCUGAAAGAACUUCCCAGCCAGCGCUGACCCUGGAAACAAGCAGCUGCUCCUCCAAGAUUCAGCUGUGUCCCCUCCAGUCCGGGAUGUUGGUAUGAAUUCCCCAGCUCUGGUCCUCCCCAGCUCUGCUUCCUCUACUCCUGGCUCAGAAACGGCCAUAAUCAACAGAACACAUGGUAAAUAUGGCAACUAAAGGGCCCAGGGACUGAUGUUGGAAAGUGAUUAAUGCAAACAACCUUUUGUUGUCUCUAAACAUAUUAUCUGUAUUUAGAGAGUUUUCUCUGCAUGCCCCAAGGCCUUUAGCCCUACUCCCUGCACCUUCUGUGGCUGCCUUUCUUGCCAUUGUUCAUCCUCCUGUAGUUUUCCUACUGCUGUUUUUGCUUCAUUGUGCCAUAGUUUUUUC
rnacentral:lncRNA from 1 species